rnacentral:rRNA from 1 species
UGGGGAAUAUUGCACAAUGGGCGGAAGCCUGAUGCAGCGACGCCGCGUGAGGGAUGACGGCCUUCGGGUUGUAAACCUCUUUCAGUAGGGACGAAGCGUAAGUGACGGUACCUGCAGAAGAAGCACCGGCUAACUACGUGCCAGCAGCCGCGGUAAUACGUAGGGUGCGAGCGUUGUCCGGAAUUACUGGGCGUAAAGAGCUCGUAGGCGGUUUGUCACGUCGUCUGUGAAAUCCUAGGGCUUAACCCUGGACGUGCAGGCGAUACGGGCUGACUUGAGUACUACAGGGGAGACUGGAAUUUCUGGUGUAGCGAUGGAAUGCACAGAUAUCAGGAAGAACACCGAUGGCGAAGGCAGGUCUCUGGGUAGUAACUGACGCUGAGGAGCGAAAGCAUGGGUAGCGAACAGG